GUGAACGCUGGCGGUAGGCCUAACACAUGCAAGUCGCACGGCAGCACAGUAAGAGCUUGCUCUUACGGGUGGCGAGUGGCGGACGGGUGAGGAAUACAUCGGAAUCUACUUUUUCGUGGGGGAUAACGUAGGGAAACUUACGCUAAUACCGCAUACGACCUACGGGUGAAAGCAGGGGAUCUUCGGACCUUGCGCGAUUGAAUGAGCCGAUGUCGGAUUAGCUAGUUGGCAGGGUAAAGGCCCACCAAGGCGACGAUCCGUAGCUGGUCUGAGAGGAUGAUCAGCCACACUGGAACUGAGACACGGUCCAGACUCCUACGGGAGGCAGCAGUGGGGAAUAUUGGACAAUGGGCGCAAGCCUGAUCCAGCCAUACCGCGUGGGUGAAGAAGGCCUUCGGGUUGUAAAGCCCUUUUGUUGGGAAAGAAAAGCAGCAGGUUAAUACCCCGCUGUUCUGACGGUACCCAAAGAAUAAGCACCGGCUAACUUCGUG
rnacentral:rRNA from 1 species